UACGUAGGGUGCGAGCGUUGUCCGGAAUUACUGGGCGUAAAGAGCUCGUAGGCGGUUUGUCGCGUCUGCUGUGAAAACUGGGGGCUCAACCCCCAGCCUGCAGUGGGUACGGGCAGACUAGAGUGCGGUAGGGGGAGAUUGGAAUUCCUGGUGUAGCAGUGAAAUGCGCAGAUAUCAGGAGGAACACCGGUGGCGAAGGCGGGUCUCUGGGCCGAUACUGACGCUGAGGAGCGAAAGCGUGGGGGAGCAAACAGG
rnacentral:rRNA from 1 species